AUUCACCUUCACAAGGAGCUUCUUUUGAUGGUGGAAAUAGCUCAUUUGUUGUCUCCAUGGCUAUAGAAUAAGACAGAAGGGAGUGAAAACUUGGGAAACAGCCAGCAAUUGAAGCAGGCGCUCACCCGAAAUCUCUCAAGCAGAUACAAUCCAAUUUAAAGGAAGAAAGCCUGAGACACAAAAAUCAGGGGCAUCAGUGAAA
rnacentral:lncRNA from 1 species